GGAAUCACCGAGCGCAAAGGACAUGUAGACAUAAAAUUGGGUUGAAAGUGAAAGUAGUAAAAAAGUAAUGGAAUGCUUAUGAAAUCAAUUCACUUCAGUGAGACCUAGGAGAGAAAUUUUGUGUGUAGGGGUCAUGAAAUUCGGAGAUCCGAGAAGGGAUGCCAAAAGUGAGGACAGUUCUCUGGGUUUCUACCAAUACUGAGAUGCAAAAGUGUAGGGAGCAAACAUGAUUAAAUGAUCAGAUAGUUCACACAGUAAACAAUGAGUGUUCACCUUUGGGCUGAUUUAACGCGUGAAACACUCUAGCC
rnacentral:ncRNA from 1 species